rnacentral:rRNA from 1 species
UACGAAGGGGGCUAGCGUUGCUCGGAAUCACUGGGCGUAAAGCGCACGUAGGCGGGUCUCUAAGUCAGGGGUGAAAUCCUGGAGCUCAACUCCAGAACUGCCUUUGAUACUGAGGAUCUCGAGUCCGGGAGAGGUGAGUGGAACUCCGAGUGUAGAGGUGAAAUUCGUAGAUAUUCGGAAGAACACCAGUGGCGAAGGCGGCUCACUGGCCCGGUACUGACGCUGAGGUGCGAAAGCGUGGGGAGCAAACAGG